rnacentral:rRNA from 1 species
CCAGGCGUCGACGGGUAGCCGGCCUGAGAGGGUGGACGGCCACAUUGGGACUGAGACACGGCCCAGACUCCUACGGGAGGCAGCAGUGGGGAAUAUUGCACAAUGGGCGCAAGCCUGAUGCAGCGACGCCGCGUGGGGGAUGAAGGCCUUCGGGUUGUAAACUCCUUUCAACCAUGACGAAGCAUUAUGUGACGGUAGUGGUAGAAGAAGCACCGGCUAACUACGUGCCAGCAGCCGCGGUAAUACAAA